UGCAGGCAAAGGCCAUGCAGGACCCCGAAAUACAAAAUAUCCUAACAGAUCCUGUCAUGCGACAGGUGUUGAUUGACCUCCAAGAGAACCCUAAGGCUGCACAGGAUCAUCUCAAGAACCCCCAAGUGAUGCAGAAGAUACAAAAGCUUAUGGCGUCUGGAGUCAUUCAAAUGAGAUAGAACGUGAAGUAUGUGGGAGUCGUUGGUCAUCAUUUUGUCUUUUUCAGCUGUGAACAUAAUCAUAUUACAAGUGCUUUAUGAUUCCUCCUCCAAGUUUUUGUCUCAGUUAUGCCUUUGUUUUA